UGUGUCUGGACUUGCAGAUUUACAAUAUGUAGGUUGAGUUUUGUCAGAUACUCUUUUACCAUCCCUGUGUUUAUCCUUUGCUCUUGGCCUCUCCAGCUGCUCUCUCAUAAAUCCACUGCUUUCUGCAGACGAAUCCUCAAUUCCUUCAUUAACAUUACUGAAGGUAGGUGAGAGCAGUUCUCUCCAACCCAAACCACCCUCGAGUCAGCCCAAUUCAGCGUUCAGUUGCUGGAGGAAUCAGAUUUAUUCCCUAAUUCUUCUGCUCUUCCGUUCUUAUUUCUAAAUAAAAAUAUUAAUGCACAAACACUGCAGUGUUACUAGAGUGAAGCUGUCCACAUGGAAGACAUUUAAAAUACUUCACACAUAUCCUGUUACAGCUAUGCAUUUCUUGUCUGCCAUUUUAUACCAGUGGAUUAUCUUUGAAUUGCUACACACACCACCUGGUCUCUCACACUGCAAUUCUCCCUGCAUGAUGUACUCCUGGCCAUCAUUGCCCACGGGUGACAGAACCAUCCAUCAGCUGCUUGCAGCUAAAUGGGAACAGGACAAAGGACCUGGCACCAACCUGCUGGCUCUGUCUAGCAAGUGGAUUGAUGAAGGUGCAGCAGCAUCUCCAGGGAGGACCUGGAAAAAAGGGGUCACAGCCAUCAUGCCCUGUAUGUCCUUAAGGGCAGCUUUGCCAUCAGCAUGUUCGGAGCCGGUGCCUGUGGUAAGGGUGAGGAGGCCAGCAGCAGACCUGCCACCAAAGAUCCAUUUGGAAAUGUGGAGAAAAAACACUUCUCAUCCAUCACACUUCAGAGGUUUCAUUUUAAGCACCAUUAGAUUUUAAAAAUCUGCUGUCUGCCACCACCAGAGACUCCCAGGAGGGUGCAAGUGCACCUUUCCCAAAGGCAGACCUGAAAACUGGUGGUGUCACCAGGCUGUCACCCCAUGCUUGCAUCCCAGACCCCUCCAGCAUCAGUGCUGGCAUCCAGGGAACUGAUGCCUGAUGUGCCCAGCCAUGUUUGCCACCUUGUGAAUGUUCCCAGGUGGUGGUGAUGGGUGCUGUGAGGAGCUCUGUGCUUUCCCCAUCCCUCCAAGCACCAGUGGUGCAGGACAGGGGUGGCUUUUUGCUAUCCUGUGACUUUUCAGAGUCAGGAAAACUAUGACAUUUCCAAAAACAAGCUCGAGGGGAUGCAGGGGACUCUGUGCAGUGAUGCCCAUCUCCUGACAAACAUGGAUAGCCCUGGGAAAAGGGCUGCUCUGAAGUUGAGUCCAUUGGUGGAUGUGUGGGAGAGUAUGGAUGGGAAAGCAGCUGAACAGAGCUGGGUGAAGCAGGCAGGUACUGCCAGGGCUGCCUGCUCUCACAGAACCCAUGGAGUGACAUGGUUUAGUGAUGGACUUGGCAGUCCUGGGGUAAAGGUUGGACUUGAUGAUACUGAAGGUCUUUUCCAGCCGAGUUGAUUUUAUGAUUCUGUGGAUACACAGAAACGGGCAAAACUGGGGAAGGUGGGAAGUGAUCCUCAUCUGCCCCCACCGGACCUGGUAUCCAUGAGCUCCACAUUUUAACUGUGUGUCAUAGGAAAAACUUGUCAAGCCAUCUAAUUCAGGUGCUCUCUUGGUUUUGAAAGACUUAGUGAAUACUGAUGAAGACUCCCAUGCUAUCGAAUUCCUUCUCAAUGAAAACCUUGGUCACACCUUGUCACCCCACAUGGGCGGUGUUUGGUCCCCCACUGACCUGAGCUGCUAAGGCUCUGGCUCUGCCACACCAGUACAUGCUGCUGGAGUGGUUUCUCUUUUCUUUCCAGCAUCCACCUAUUCCUCUCCUCAAUGCCUUUUUGAGUAUCACU
rnacentral:lncRNA from 14 species